AGGUAGGUCGGGUAAAGGCAGCAUGCCGCGGAUGCAAGGUGGGCCGCGUCAACAAUCCUUGCACAAUAUAAACGCAAACGAGGAUGCUCGUUUAAUAGCAGCUGCAAACAGGAUUGUUGCUCCGAUCUUUGAAGCAACUCCUUUUGUUCCUGCUAUGGCGUCAGUCCUUCCUCACUAAGCAGGAAGGCCUCAACAUAAGGCUGCCUGCGGCCUUUUGUUGAGCGGAUAGCAGGCUGGCUUCGGCGCUUUCGCCUUUAGUGCCGGGGUAAGAUUUCUAAAAGGCUGCUGCCCGGACGAUCCUGUUUAUCGGAGCAACCGGGAGUAAGCUUAAAAGAUGAACUAAGCAUGUAGGGGCUUUUAUUCGAGUACCUUAGGACGGCGGUUCGAUUCCGCCCACCUCCACCA
rnacentral:tmRNA from 1 species